GUGCUAGUAUAAAGGAGAGUUUGUUGGUAUAUCCCCCUACAAGGAUAACUAAGGGUUUUACCUAUUACCACACAUCCGUUUAAGGCAUUCCAACUCUAUAUAGAAAAAUGUUUGG
rnacentral:ncRNA from 1 species